AGUGAACGCUGGCGGUAGGCCUAACACAUGCAAGUCGAACGGCAGCACAGUAAGAGCUUGCUCUUACGGGUGGCGAGUGGCGGACGGGUGAGGAAUACAUCGGAAUCUACUUUUUCGUGGGGGAUAACGUAGGGAAACUUACGCUAAUACCGCAUACGACCUACGGGUGAAAGCAGGGGAUCUUCGGACCUUGCGCGAGUGAAUGAGCCGAUGUCGGAUUAGCUAGUUGGCGGGGUAAAGGCCCACCAAGGCGACGAUCCGUAGCUGGUCUGAGAGGAUGAUCAGCCACACUGGAACUGAGACACGGUCCAGACUCCUACGGGAGGCAGCAGUGGGGAAUAUUGGACAAUGGGCGCAAGCCUGAUCCAGCCAUACCGCGUGGGUGAAGAAGGCCUUCGGGUUGUAAAGCCCUUUUGUUGGGAAAGAAAAGCAGCAGGUUAAUACCCCGCUGUUCUGACGGUACCCAAAGAAUAAGCACUGGCUAACUUCGUG
rnacentral:rRNA from 1 species